ACGCUCGACACCUACGGAGGCAGCAGUUAGGAAUAUUGGGCAAUGGAGGAAACUCUGACCCAGCAACGCCGCGUGAAGGAAGAAGGUUUUCGGAUUGUAAACUUCUGAUCUAGGGGAAGAAGGAAGUGACGGUACCCUAGGAGAAAGCCACGGCUAACUACGUGCCAACAGCCGCGGUAAUCUGAGCGGGCUGGCAAGGC
rnacentral:rRNA from 1 species